rnacentral:rRNA from 1 species
GACGAACGCUGGAGGCGUGCUUAACACAUGCAAGUCGAACGAUGAAAUGGAGCUUGCUCCAUGGAUUAGUGGCGAACGGGUGAGUUACACGUGAAUAACCUGCCCUUAAUUUUGGAAUAACCCAGGGAAACCUGGGCUAAUACCGGAUAAGUAAACCUGUGGCAUCACAUGGUUUUGGAAAGUUUUUCGAUUAAGGAUGGAUUCGCGGCCUAUCAGCUUGUUGGUGAGGUAAUGGCUCACCAAGGCGACGACGGGUAGCCGGCCUGAGAGGGUGAACGGCCACGCUGGGACUGAGACACGGCCCAGACUCCUACGGGAGGCAGCAGUGGGGAAUAUUGCGCAAUGGACGAAAGUCUGACGCAGCGACGCCUCGUGAGGGACGAAGGUCUUCGGAUUGUAAACCUCUUUCAGCAGGGACGAAGCGAAAGUGACGGUACCUGCAGAAGAAGCACCGGCUAACUAUGUGCCAGCCGCCGCAGUAA